UUCCAGACUCCUACGGGAGGCAGCAGUGGGGAAUAUUGCACAAUGGGGGAAACCCUGAUGCAGCGACGCCGCGUGAGCGAUGAAGUAUUUCGGUAUGUAAAGCUCUAUCAGCAGGGAAGAAGAUGACGGUACCUGACUAAGAAGCCCCGGCUAACUACGUGCCAGCAGCCGCGGUAAUACGUAGGGGGCAAGCGUUAUCCGGAUUUACUGGGUGUAAAGGGAGCGUAGACGGCGAUGCAAGCCAGAUGUGAAAGCCCGGGGCCCAACCCCGGGACUGCUCUUGGAACUGCGCGGCUGGAGUGCAGGAGGGGCAGGCGGAAUUCCUGGUGUAGCGGUGAAAUGCGUAGAUAUCAGGAGGAACACCGGUGGCGAAGGCGGCCUGCUGGACUGCGACUGACGUUGAGGCCCGAAAGCGUGGGGAGCAAACAGGAUUAGAUACCCUAGUACCA
rnacentral:rRNA from 1 species